rnacentral:rRNA from 1 species
UACGGGGGGAGCAAGCGUUGUUCGGAUUUACUGGGCGUAAAGGGCGCGUAGGCGGCCACCGCAAGUCGACUGUGAAAUCUCCGGGCUUAACCCGGAAAGGUCAGCCGAUACUGCGGGGCUAGAGUGCAGAAGGGGCAACUGGAAUUCUCGGUGUAGCGGUGAAAUGCGUAGAUAUCGAGAGGAACACCUGCGGCGAAGGCGGGUUGCUGGGCUGACACUGACGCUGAGGUACGAAAGCUAGGGUAGCGAACGGG